AGUGAACGCUGGCGGCAGGCCUAACACAUGCAAGUCGAACGAGUGGCGGGCGGGGGAGGAAUGUCGGGGAAACUGCAUGAAGGGGGGGGAUAACUACUGGAAACGGUAGCUAAGACCGCAUACCAUAAGAUGGGGCCAGAUGGGGUUAGCUCGUGGGUGGGGUAACGGCUCACCAACGCAAGGAUCCCUAGCUGGUUUGAUAGGAUGACCAGCCACCCUAGCACUGAGACCCGGGCCCGAGCCCUACGGCAGGUAGCAGUGGCGAAUUUUGCACGGUUGGCGCCAGCCUGCUCCAGCCCUGCCGCGUGUAUUAAGAAGUCCUUCGGGUUGUAAAGUCCUUUCAGCGGGGAGGCGUUAUCCGCUGAAGAAGCACCGGCUAACCCCGUGCCAGCCGCCGCGGUAAUUC
rnacentral:rRNA from 1 species